rnacentral:misc_RNA from 1 species
GUGAGAGAAGAAGAAGAAGAGAAAUAGCGGGAGUGGGGGCAUGGAAGCACGGAAGUACAUCUGGGAAGGUGCAAUUCCAUUACAGAUUCAUCUCCAUGAAUCUGAAGUCACCACCGUCCCUCCUCCACCGCCUGCAAUGGUCUUAGCUCCUCGGAUUGGCUACCUGCCUCUGUUGGCUUCUCAGAUUAAACCUUACUUCGGUAGUACGCUUCCUCCUGGAGUUGACA